AUUGAACGCUGGCGGCAUGCCUUACACAUGCAAGUCGAACGGCAGCGGACCUUCGGGUGCCGGCGAGUGGCGAACGGGUGAGUAAUAUAUCGGAACGUACCUUUCAGUGGGGGAGUAACGUAGCGAAAGUUACGCUAAUACCGCAUAUUCUGUGAGCAGGAAAGCAGGGGAGUCGCAAGACCUUGCGCUGAUUGAGCGGCCGAUAUCAGAUUAGCUAGUUGGUGAGGUAAAGGACUCACCAAGGCGACGAUCUGUAGCGGGUCGUGAGAGGAUGAUCCGCCACACUGGAACUGAGACACGGUCCAGACUCCUACGGGAGGCAGCAGUGGGGAAUUUUGGACAAUGGGCGCAAGCCUGAUCCGGCCAUGCCGCGUGAGUGAAGAAGGCCUCGG
rnacentral:rRNA from 1 species